AGAUUUCCAACCCCAGCUGCCAUCGUGGUGUGAGGAGGGCUCCACAGAGGUUGGGCCCAAGAGACACAUCAGCAGGAAGGUGCCUGCUUGUUUAGCAUCAAGUUACUUCAGAAAGGACCUAGAAUAGUCAAAACCACAGAGAAGGAUCUGACUGUGUGGCUCUGGAUGCUGCCUUGCCCUCCCGAGUGCUGGAAUGGCAGUGCUUUGAUACCAUGCCCAGCUACCAGUUCUUGUGAUUCUUAUGAUACCUCAUCAGGGUGGAGUUUGGUAGCUUUGGAAGCCUGUUCCAAGAGAGAAAACCAGCCCGUAUGCUUAUAGACUUAAACAGGAGCCUAGCAAAACUCUCUCCUGAGAUGCUUCAUCCAAGCAGCAAAUAGAAACAGAUGCAGAGACCCACAGACAAACAUCAGGUGGAGCUCAGAAACCCUGGUGUGAAGGCAGCAGAAUCAGUAACUCUCCACUGGCAACAAAGCUGGAGCUGUGUCCUUGCAGGAGGAGAGCGUUGGCUGGGAAGAAGCUGAACGCCCAUCCUCUUUAAUGUUAGGAAGCUCUGAGAAGCUCUGAGAAGAAGAGUCUUGGCCCAGAGCGUCAUAAUGAAGUUGCUUUGGCGAGCUUCCUUUUUAAGACCUUUGGCUGUGGGUGAGCUAUGUGACCUGGGAAAUGUAAGGCAAGCUGUUGUUGCAGAUGUAGCCCAGACACAGGGCACACAAAGCCGCUGAGCUUUUGUCCUUUCAGAAACUGCAACUCUAUGAUCCAACAAAAGCAGCUUUUAAGUUUAAGUCAUCUGACAGUUUAUGUGAGGUGACAAUAAGUUAAUUUAAUAGAUGUUUAUUUUCCUCAUUUUAGAGAUGUCAUUAAUUCUAGCUUAUGUUCGAAUUCAAUAUAAUAUUUGUGCAAAACACAAAUGAAUUGUAUAUACAGUUUGUGACAGUUAGUUUUAAUUGUCAACUUGACAUAACCCAGGAUCACAUGGGAAAGGAAUCUCAGUGAGGGAUGGUCUACAUCAGAUUGGCCUGUGGGCACAUCUAAGUGGGAUUGUCUUGAUUGCCUGUGUUUAUGUGAAAAUCCAGGCCAGCAUAAAUAGCACUGCUCCCGAGACAAGAGGUCAUGCAUAUGGAGCCAAGCACAGGCAAGCAAGCAAGCAAGCAAGCAAGCAAGCAAGCAAGCAAGCAAGCAAGCAUUCAUCUCUCUUCUUGACCAUGGUUGCAAUGUGAUAGACUAUAACCUGGAAGCAUAAGCCAGGGAGAUCCUUUUUCCCCUACUUUAAUUUUUGUCAGGAUAUGCUUAUCACAGCAACAGAAAUUGAACUAUAUUAGCAUUUAUUCCUGUUAAUCCUGUUGUCUACAAAAAAAAAAAAAAA
rnacentral:lncRNA from 1 species